rnacentral:rRNA from 1 species
UACGGAGGGGGCUAGCGUUGUUCGGAAUUACUGGGCGUAAAGCGUACGUAGGCGGCUUUGUAAGUUAGAGGUGAAAGCCCGGGGCUCAACCCCGGAAUUGCCUUUAAGACUGCAUCGCUUGAAUCAUGGAGAGGUUAGUGGAAUUCCGAGUGUAGAGGUGAAAUUCGUAGAUAUUCGGAAGAACACCAGUGGCGAAGGCGACUAACUGGACAUGUAUUGACGCUGAGGUACGAAAGCGUGGGGAGCAAACAGG